GCAAGAGUAAAGCAGCAAUGCGCUUGGGGAUGAGCUCGCGGCCUAUUAGUUAGUUGGCGGGGUAACGGCCCACCAAGGCGAUGACGGGUAGCCGGUCUGAGAGGAUGUCCGGCCACACUGGAACUGAGACACGGUCCAGACACCUACGGGUGGCAGCAGUCGAGAAUCAUUCACAAUGGGGGAAACCCUGAUGGUGCGACGCCGCGUGGGGGAGGAAGGUCUUCGGAUUGUAAACCCCUGUCAUGUGGGAGCAAGGCGCAAGCUUGAUAGUACCACAAGAGGAAGAGACGGCAAACUCUGUGCCAGCAGCCGCGGUAAUACAGAGGUCUCAAGCGUUGUUCGGAAUCACUGGGCGUAAAGGGUACGUAGGCGGCAACAUAAGUCGUGCGUGAAAGGCAGGGGCUCAACCUCUGGAGUGCGCAUGAUACUGUGGGGCUAGAGUAAUGGAGGGGGAACCGGAAUUCUUGGUGUAGCAGUGAAAUGCGUAGAUAUCAAGAAGAAGACUCGUGGCGAAGGCGGGUUCCUGGACAUUUACUGACGCUGAGGUACGAAGGCUAGGGUAGCGAAAGGGAUUAGAUACCCCUGUAGUCCUAGCAGUAAACGGUGCACGUUUGGGGGUGCGGGGAAACGACCCCCUGGCGUGCCCGGAGCAAACGCGUUAAACCUGCCCCCCUGGGGGAGUACGGUCGCAAGAUUAAAACUCAAAGGAAUUGACGGGGGGCCCGCACAAGCAGCGGAGCGUGUGGUUUAAUUCGAUGAUACACGAAGAACCUUACCAGGGUUUGACAUACAAGUGGUAGGUGAAGGGAAACCGGAACGACCCCUCGGGGAGCUUGAACAGGUGCUGCAUGGCUGUCGUCAGCUCGUGUCGUGAGAUGUUCGGUUAAGUCCGCUAACGAGCGCAACCCUUGUCGUGUGUUACACGUAUCACGCGAGACCGCCGCGUAGAAAGCCGGAGGACGGUGGGGAUGACGUCAAGUCAGCAUGGCCUUUAUAUCCUGGGCUACACACACGCUACAAUGGCCAUCAACAGAGGGUCGCAAUCCCGCGAGGUGGAGCCAAUCCCUAAAAAUGGUCUCAGUUCGGAUCGCAGGCUGCAACCCGCCUGCGUGAAGCUGGAAUUGCUAGUAAUCGCGGAUCAGCAUGCCGCGGUGAAUACGUUCCCGGGCCUUGCACACACCGCCCGUCA
rnacentral:rRNA from 1 species